GAUAAGAGUUUUUUUCUGUUUUUUUU
rnacentral:sRNA from 1 species